AACCAGCUCUUUUACCAAAUAUGCUAACCUUCCUGGAUGAGAAACCCAGGAGAUUCCAAGAUCACCCGUAGAUGUUAGCUCUCAGCAUCUCCUCUGAAUCCUUUUAACAUUAAUUUUUGUGUUAAUUUUUUCAUAUAGCAAUUACUUACAAUAUUUAUUAGUUUGUUUUAUCAUCAGGGGUAAUAUUAAAAUAUUUAACAACUGAUAAGGCAUGGGCACCGACCGGUAGGAAUAGGUGGCUGAUGAGCUAGAACCUCUGGCAUCUGUACGCAGCCUCCAUGUUCUCUGUGUGUGCCCGCUGAGUUACAGCGCUGGUUGUCUCGGGGGGUGUGUGUGCAUCCCUAAGACAGCUCCUGUCCUGGCCUGUGGCAGGCAAUUUAUAAAUAUUUUAAAUAAAUAAACAAGUGCUACCUUGAAUUUUGUUUUAUGGGCUAUGUUUUAUCUUUCCAAUUAGAAACUAAAAUACAAGUCCUUUCAGAACAGAGAUCAUGUAUUAUGAAGGAAUAUGUGGCAUAUUUUCUUGAUUGUUUUCCUAAGAACAUUUCUUCUGAAUGAAGAUUUGCUUUUAAAAACUAGGUUUGGAUAUUGUUAGGGAUUUUAAGGCUGGGUCACAAAUGAGGUUUGGCUUUAAUUUAAUGAGACUUUGUGUGUGUUGUGUGUGUGGCUUGUAAACUGGCUCUGAAAGCAGCUUGAAAAGAAGAGCGCCUUGGAGUUAAUGCAUACUCUUCCAGAGUUAGGGGCACAGCUGCUUACUCGAAAGGCACUGAACUAGGAAUUAAAAGUCCUGGGCUGGUUUGUAUUACAGAUAUUUGCCCAAGUCCCCACUAUGUUCCAAGCACAGGAAUGACUGAAAAUUCGUCUACUCUAAUAGCAUGGAAAAAAAUGUGUGUUUAACACAGAGGUGAAAUUAGUUCUUCCUAGGGAGAUUUAAUUCCCUCUACACACUAAUACUUUACUCGUUACUGCUGUGGACUACACUAUAGCUUGUUUCAAGAUCUGUCUCUUUUACUAGAUUGUGAGUUUCUUAAGAGCAAGACUGUUGCAUUCAUCUCUGCCCUGCAUCCCCCAAGCACAUGCUGUGCUAUGCCUGCCAUAUUGUAGGCACUCAAAUGUUUGAAUAAAUAAUCUCAAAUAAAUCACUUAGCUUUGCAGAGCCUGUUUUUUCUUUUGUAAGGAGAGAAUUCUCUGCCUCAGAAUUGUUGAAACUGUGGCAAGAGUAAUCUUUUAAAACUACAUACUGUUCUGUAUGUUGUACCUCAUAUAUAACAUUUACUUAAAAAGCAGGUAUAAAUCCGAUCACAUUUUUCCCUGCUUUAAACAGUUAAUGAGUCCUCAAAACCCUGCAUCCCCUCUCUGGAAUAUAAACUUCAUGACAGUAAGUACCUGGUCUGUCUCGUUCUCUUGAGUGCCCAGUGCAGACUCUGCCUCCCUCCCUGCGGCUCUCCUCUUUGCUGCCUGUACUGUUGCCACACUGACCCUCUCCUGGCUCUUGAGACGCAUAUCCCUCCCCACUCAGGGUCUCUUCUUUGCUCUUCCUGUUCCCAUGGCCUACUCAUGGCCCUCACUCUGACCUUCGUUGAUGUCUCUUCAGUCCUUAGAGCUCAGUUUACAUGUCACUUCUUCAGGGAUUUCCUAAUCACCACAAGCCCAGACCAGGACAUGUGCUCCUUUUAAACACUCAGAUCACUUAAUACAAUUGUAGUUAAAUAUUUGCCUAUUGUUUCCCUGCUAGAACAUAGCUGCAUGAAUAGAACUGCCUUGCCUAUUUUGUUCAUGUUUGUAUCACCAGUAUUUAGCACUAUAAGUUACCCAUAGUAGGUCCCCAAUAAAUAUUUUUCAGUUGAAGUUAGGAAAGAAAACUAAAAAUAGAAUUUUAAAAAAUCCUUAGUCAUUCUAAUGGUUUAAAUAAAUUAAAUACAUGUCUCCAGGUUAUAUUUUUCUUUAAUUUCUAUUAAACCACUAAUAGGCAAACAUUAUUAGGUAAACAUUUUAAGAUCACAGAAAGAAUAUUGUAAUGAAAAUUUUUAGUUUGUCUGAAAACUUUAUUUAGUCAUUGAAGACUUAUUAAUGAGUAUCCUUUUAUUCUUCAUCAGCAGAAAUGAUCAGGAUGGUUAUUUCUUUUCAAAUCGUUUCAUGUACUAGGACUCACGUGACCGCAGUUUCACUGAAUGUCUGAGGAGUACCAUGUGCUGAAGGUUGUGGUAGAAGCUAGGACUACAAGGAUGGGAUGUGAAGGGAUCUUUGCUCCCGAGGAGUUCACAGCCAAGUGGGUGAGGUAGACGUGAGCCCAGAUGAAUGUCAUUUGGUGUAAUAAG